GCCGUGAGGUGUUGGGUUAGUCCCGCAAGCGAGCGCAACCCCUACCAGUUAUUGCAUCAGGUAAUGCUGAGGCACUCUAAAUGGGACUGCCUACGCAAGUAGUGAGGAAGGUGGGGAUGACGUCAAGUCCGCAUGGCCCUUACGCCUAGGGCUACACACGUGCUACAAUGGAUGCUACAAUGGGUUGCGAAACCGUAAGGUGGAGCCAAUCCCUGAAAAGUAUCCUCAGUGAUUGGAGUCUGCAACUCGAUCUUCAUGAAGUUGGAUUGCU
rnacentral:rRNA from 1 species